ACGGUUCUGUUCGUGAUCGCAAUAUUGUGGACAGGAUAGUGGCGAACGGGUGAGUAACACGUAGGUAAUCUACCUUUUGGAUGGGAACAACUCAGGAAAACUUGAGCUAAUGCCCAAUAAGACCACGUUCCGGGAGGGAUGUGAUCAAAGGCGGGGCGAAAGUCUCGCGCCGGAAGAUGAGCCUGCGGCCUAUCAGCUAGUUGGCGGGGUAAAGGCCCACCAAGGCGAAGACGGGUAGCCGGCCUGAGAGGGCGAACGGCCACACUGGGACUGAGACACGGACCAGACUCCUACGGGAGGCAGCAGUGAGGAAUUUUCCGCAAUGGGCGCAAGCCUGACGGAGCGACGCCGCGUGAGGGAUGAAGGCUUCCCGGGUUGUAAACCUCUUUUGCUUGGG
rnacentral:rRNA from 1 species